GCACGGAUGGCCGAGUGGUCUAAGGCGCCAGACUCAAGAUUUCACUUGCCACGCGAAUGUGGUUGAGAAUUGCAGUACUCGGCAGGGUGCGUGUGCUCGAAUCCCACUCCGUGAA
rnacentral:tRNA from 1 species